rnacentral:tRNA from 1 species
AGAUAAUGAACUCUAAUUUGCAAUUAGAAAAAGUUUCUAAAACCUUAUCUA